rnacentral:rRNA from 1 species
AUUAAACUGAAGAGUUUGAUCAUGGCUCAGAUUGAACGCUGGCGGUAUGCUUAACACAUGCAAGUCGAACGGUAACAGCAGGAGCUUGCUCCUGGCUGACGAGUGGCGGACGGGUGAGUAACGCGUGG